CCUACGGGAGACUGCAGUGAGGAAUAUUGGUCAAUGGCCGGAAGGCUGAACCAGCCAAGCCGCGUGAAGGACGAAGGUGCCAAGCAUUGUAAACUUCUUUUGUCAAGGGACAAACUCAGGCUCGAGAGCCUGACCGAGGGUACUUUAAGAACAAGCAUCGGCUAACUCCGUGCCAGCAGCCGCGGUAAUACGGAGGAUGCGAGCGUUAUCCGGAUUUAUUGGGUUUAAAGGGUGCGUAGGCGCACUGUUAAGUCAGCGGUAAAAGCCCGGGGCUCAACCCCGGCGAGCCGUUGAAACUGGCGGUCUUGAGAUGUCGAGAGGUAUGCGGAAUGCGCAGUGUAGCGGUGAAAUGCUUAGAUAUUGCGCAGAACUCCGAUUGCGAAGGCAGCAUACCGGAGGCGAUCUGACGCUGAGGCACGAAAGCGUGGGUAUCGAACAGGAUUAGAUACCCGAGUAGUC
rnacentral:rRNA from 1 species